CUUAGAAUAUCGUCAAUUCGAUACACACCGUGUAGCCUAAUUGUAUUACGAUAAUAUUAGAUAACCUAGGGGAGGCAUACAUAUACCUAUUGUGUUUUUGAGAGUCCAACGACAAUACAAAUCUGCGGUGUAUUGUAAUGCAAAAUCGUAUAAUACGAUGUCGAUAAUACUUUAUUAUAAUAUAUUACGAUGAUGGCCGCGAAUAAUACGAUACGAUGCGUCGACGGUGUUUACAGUUAGAGCGGGAGACGAUAUUAUUAUCCUUAUUAUUAUAGUUAUCCUGUAUUAUAUACCAAUAUAUUGUAUAUAUAGUGUCGGUUGGUGGUUAUUAUAAAUGAGCUAUCGCAUCGUCUCAACGAUUUUGUUCACCAAGUGCUGCUGUAGCAGUCUUCAAAAAUAAAAACGUACGUGAGAAGCCGUCGAGAGAAAUUCAAUCUUUUAAAUAUGAUUAAUCUAAAAUCGCUAUGUUUGUGGUUGACUACUGCGGUAUUGGUCGUUUCUGGUCAAUAUUACAUAAACCCACAAGUGCAAGUUCCAAUCAAACCGUAUCCGUAUGCUUAUCAAUAUUAUAAGGCACCCGUUUCAGCUGAAAUAGUGGUUCCGCCACCUACGCGAUAUCUGACCGGUUAUGACGUAUUACACUCUUACGAACCUGUCGAAAAACACGGUUACAAGUAUUCGUAUUAAUGCGUUAAAAUUAAAAUAUACAUAACGAACAUUACAUAUGCAAUAGUUAGUGCUAUUUGAAUAACUACUUAAACUAAAAAAAAAAAAUUAUUAGUAGUGAAUGUAUAGCGAAAACGUGUCAAUAUACUCGUAUAUAAUAAGAAUAUAUUUUUAAAUUAUAGUAAUGAUACAUAAUACUGAUAGCUUUUAUACGUUUAUAAUUUAUUAAUUUUAAAAUAAUUAAUUUUUUUAUUGUAUUUAUUGAAAUGUUUAUUUUUUACUAUACUAUACUUGUAGAUUUAAUGUAAUAUAUUAUUAUUUAUUAUACUCGUUUAUAGAUAAAAAUGCCUUAAUUGUUUUAUCAUUAUUAAUUUUUAAUAUUAUAUUAUUGAAACGUACAUAAAGUAAAUUAAUUUUACAACGUUAGACAUAAAAUGUGUACACUAUGUAUUUAACAUGGUAAAUUAAUGUAAGUCUUUUAUGUUUUAAAUAAAAAUCAGUAUACACGGUUUUAA